CCCUUAGAUGUUCUGGGCCGCACGCGUGCUACACUGAGUGGAUCAGCGGGUCAGGUUGCGCGAAAGCGUUUCCUAAUCUUUAAAUCCGCUCGUGAUGGGGAUCGACGGUUGCAAUUUUCUGUCAUGAACGAGGAAUACCUUGUAAGCGCGGGUCAUCAUCCCGCGCUGAAUACGUCCCUGCCCUUUGUACACACCGCCCGUCGCUCCUACCGAUUGAGUGGUCCGGUGAGGCUUUGGGAUCUGAGCGGAAAGAGCGUUUCGCUGUUUCUGCUCGGAAAACUCAGUCGAACCUUAUCAUUUAGAGGAAGGAGAAGUCGUAACA
rnacentral:rRNA from 1 species